rnacentral:misc_RNA from 1 species
GAAGCAGACAGCAAAGGUUCCUCUCUGGUCUCUGCUAUUGGAGGAGAAGAAUCACAAAAACAAACCCAAGCCCGGAACCUAAGGAGAGCUUAUACCUAAGACAAUAGUGAUCUGUUAAUACAUUGCUGUAGAUAAUAGAGACAAGGCCCCAAAAAUUUGUGGUCGCAAGUGAAUUAUAUUAUGCUCGACUAUUUAUCAAUGUCUGCUGAAUAGUAGCAUGUAGCUUUUGGAAAUUAGUUACUUUAUCAAGUAAAGGGAGCAAUUCUCAUUGAAAAGUUUAUUAUAUCUAUUGAGAACAUCAAGUCAAUCAGAGGCUAGUUUUAGAUGCAAACAUCUCAGAAACACAAAAGUUCAGCUGGUAUUCACGGGUUUUACCACCAACCACAAGAGAUUGAUCAAUAUGGUUUGCCUCAUAUACAAAUUUUAGACAACAAUGUAUUCUCAGAUGUCGGCAAUCAAGGAACCACUGUGUCCUUUCAAAACUACAAGGACGAAUACUUUACCUUGGAAUCUUCCACGGCUACUGGAGGUUUUGUUGUCUAUGAUUCACCUGCUGCCAGUGUCUCAUCCAACAGAAGUCCCUUUUCACCCCAAGGUUCACAUUCGUACCUAUCAGAUCCUCAUCAUUCUCCUGAUAACAUAUAUGGAUCUCCAAUGAGUGGAUCUUCAUCUGC